rnacentral:rRNA from 1 species
GACGAACGCUGGCGGCGUGCUUAACACAUGCCAGUCGAACGGAAAGGCCCUGCUUUUGUGGGGUGCUCGAGUGGCGAACGGGUGAGUAACACGUGAGUAACCUGCCCUUGACUUUGGGAUAACUUCAGGAAACUGGGGCUAAUACCGGAUAGGAGCUCCUGCUGCAUGGUGGGGGUUGGAAAGUUUCGGCGGUUGGGGAUGGACUCGCGGCUUAUCAGCUUGUUGGUGGGGUAGUGGCUUACCAAGGCUUUGACGGGUAGCCGGCCUGGGAGGGUGACCGGCGACAUUGGGACUGAGAUACGGCCCAGACUCCUACGGGAGGCAGCAGUGGGGAAUAUUGCACAAUGGGCGGAAGCCUGAUGCAGCAACGCCGCGUGCGGGAUGACGGCCUUCGGGUUGUAAACCGCUUUCGCCUGUGACGAAGCGUGAGUGACGGUAAUGGGUAAAGAAGCACCGGCUAACUACGUG